GGUUUGAGGAGCUCACUGGGGCUUAGGCAUGAAAUAGGCGUCCAGACACCUGCCUGUGGCAGCAGUGCAUAUAUCCAGAGGCAGAAAGUUGGGCAUGUAGGGGACUUUUACAGCAACCAUUUAGGCACAGAGUGGGUAUAUGUGCCUAUAGCCUUAGGCAGCAGCUGAGCAGAUGUUUUGUGGAUUGCAGGGCUCCUAAAGCUGGACUUUGCAUGAGUAAGUCCCUUUGUGGCUCUGGCCCAACAUCCUUCUUUCAAGAAUUUUACCCACUGACCUCAUUCUAGUUUUCUCAUUCUCUCUUUCUCAGAUGCUUUAUGGCUCCCUAGCAGCUAAGAAUUUCAGACUGAAGAUCCUGGAAGUGGCACCAUUACCUUCCCAAGCCUGCCUGCCUGCAAAAAAACAACUCCAGAGAAAACAACCACGCAGUGCAUCCAAAAACAAAUUUAAUACGAGGAGGCCUGAGGCUUGGCUUCUCAACAGUAUGACUUUAAAAUAUCUCCAGCCUGUUAUCCACAUGAGUCAUCUUUCAAGGUCAGUAUCCUGUUCAUUCCAGCUGGUCUUUAAAUAGUCCUUCUACGGGGCACCAUCAGUAUCGUAAAAGUAGUCACUUGUGUGUAAUGAAGAGCAAGCUGACAAACAUGUAAUUUAGGCAUUUGCAUUCUUUUUUCAUUAUUGGGGGUUCAUUUGUUUCCGGGCACCUUCUAAGUCACAGACAUUUCCAGCACAGGACUCUUUUCUUCUCAGGUUGGAAGCACAGGCGAAUGACUACCUACAUAAAUGCUAUUGAUGCUACUGCUUAGCCAUCUGGAUGGGUGAUGUUUCUAUAUGUAACAUCUGGGUAGCCUUAAGACAUAUUGUCUUCUUUGCAAUGCACUCAGCAGCCCUCUGCGGGCCUGCAAGUGUAUUCCAGGACAUUGCUUUGCUGGAUUG
rnacentral:lncRNA from 1 species